UAUUAAUUUUACCAUGGACAUAAUAGUUAGCAGACACCAAUGUCAAACUUGUUUUGUCAUUUUCACAGUUUUCAUUUCCAUGAACAUCAAUAUGUUUCGACAAAAGAACUAUAUCAGCCAAGGGAAUGCCACAGUCUUCGUGAAAGAAAACAUGGCUACAUCUGGAGAGAGCUUAAAGAUCUACUAUGACUGCAAAGCCCAGAUGGUCCUAUGACGACUCAACAAUGGAUGGCAAGGAAAACACAAGAACACCUUUUUAAGACUUGGUCCACUUUUGAGAACUUUGACUGGAAAUCAUAGUGCUUCAUUUGUGGCAAAAAGUGCAGCCGUCACAGAGACAAUACAUCAAGAGGUUUUCGCAGAAGUUUGUCCCUAGGGCCAAACAAAAAAAUGUGUGUUUCGGGAAUCGGGUGAAAUUUAUUUUAGGUAAGGUAGGUAUUUUUUUCUUGUCUUUGCGAUGGCUCACAUGCAUUUGCAAUGGGAAUAUCCGGAAAAAACAUGGUACCGAAGUAUGUGCGUCCUAAAAAUUGGACCAUAUUCCGUUUCUUGUUGAAUUCUCAAAUGCACAUAAUUAAAUUUGUAAUCCGAAACACUCUUCCUUAUUAAAGUUUUACUCGACGUUAUCACAUUCUUCAAACAAACUGUAAAUGUACAGUGUGUUUUAAUCUUUUCUCGAGAAAAGCGCGCGCAAAUUAUUCCCUACAUGAACAACGUCACGUCAAACGCAUGGAAAACGUACGUGCAUUAAAUUUCCGUUUAAUGUUCCGUGGUAAAAUUUUAACAGAAUGAUAUAGCGAAUGAUUUGGAAUUUGACAUUUCCUCAAAAUUAAUUGCAAAUCAAACACACACUGUAUAUUUAUCGUUACGGACGUUUACAUAAGUCACUAUAGAAGCAGUUAUUGUACUGUAUACUGGUGCAACAGAAAAUCCAGACGAAACUGGAUUAAGUGUUGGGUGUUGUCAAAACGAAUUCCGGAAUAAACCCCCUUCGGAAGAAACACCCUUCCCUAAAAACAGUAAAGCGGAGGAAACCCCCUUUCACAUUUUGCACAAACGGAAGAAACACCCUUCCAUAGCGGAACAAACCCCCUUCCCGUUUUCAGAGAGGCGGAAUAAACCCCCUUCAUGACUGUUAUUCAAACUUCGAAAA